GAGCCUUAGCUCACCCCUCCCAGAGCUUCAGUUUUCAGCAGCCAUAGCAAACUACAGUGUCUAGGGUUCCUUGAGGGAGGCUGUGUGUUUUGAAUGCCAUGGUGUGGGUAUGAUCUGUGGGGAAGGGCAAUAGAUCAGUGGUAAAGUGGAUGUUUCACAAGCAAAAAGUCUGAAGUUCAGCUCCUAGUACAGUGGUUAUCCUGACAACAAGUAGUGACUGGUCCCAGAGCUUCAUGGCUGUGUGGAUGAUUUGAACCCUAGUCUCCUAGGGUGGAGUCUCUUGGACACCAUCAGCACCGGCUAGAACAACCAAUGAGUUGGGUCUCUCUUGGUUGUUGGCACAUCAUCUCUGCACCCGGUGAAAUCUAACCAGUUAUUUAGUGGCAAGCGAAAACUAAUGGGAAAGGAUAAAACCACUGAUCUUUAGACAGAUCAGAUUAGGACUGUGAACGCACAGGCCAUGGAAUAUCUCCUGAGCUAACCAGCAGCAAGAAGUGGCUAUCAGGGAGUGAUCCGGUGCUUCAGAGAACCUGCAGGAGUUCUGAGACAAAGAGGGUGCUGCUUCAGUGCUGUCCAGAACCCUACCGAGUGCUAUUCAAGAAGACAAGAGUGUGAGGGUUAAGAACCAGGUCAAAAGAGUGUUGUCAAAGAAGACAGAUGACUCAACUACAUUAGCCAUGUUACAAUGAUCCUGCCAGAGCAGACAGAGGCAAGAUAUUGCUCACCAGCCUGCACCAAAAGAAAGUAUCUUACAAGUUCCAACAAGUUAAGUCAUACUUGCAUGGAUACAUGAGACAAAGUGAUUGUUUUGUUCAUAUGUGUUGUGGAAGUUCACCAAAUAGUGAUAAAGUCCUGAGGAUCCACCCCACCUUGUAAAGCUUUCAGAUGAUGAGAGAAGCACGCCACACCCUCUGCCACCACAGGGAGCCUCUGCUGCUGCAAGGGAAGUGUGGCACAAUCUCCACUGCUGCAGGAAGGUAUGGCAGGCCCCUCUGCCACCACAGGGAGGCCCCACAAGGCCCUCCGUCACUGCAGAUAUAUAUUGUGAUAUAACGAGAUACCAUGAUAUUUAGCUGGUGAUAUAUCGUGAUGAUGAAAACCAGAUAUCAUGCAGCCCUAGUAGGGAGUAAACUCCACUGACUGUAGUGGAACUUACUGCUUAGUAAACAUGUCUAGGAUUCCCUCAUGAUGCCCUACAGACUGCUUUGCCUGGCGACAGGCUCAGA